rfam:Nicotiana sylvestris Nsyl_contig88921, whole genome shotgun sequence.
AUACCAUGGUGUGGGCAUUUUCUUAACAUUGCUUUUAAUCGUUCCCAUGCUUGGUAUAUAGAUUCAGAAUCUGUCUGCAUAAAAUUAUUGAUUUUUUGCUUCAUUUU